GGAGGUGAGGGUGAUCUGGCUGUGACAUCUGUCGCCCUGUUGAUGGCCAGGGUUGAUCCGGCUGGUUGAUGGCCAGGGUUGAUCCGGCUGAUCUGGCUGGCUGGGCGGCUGUUCCUUCCCUCCCUCACCGCUCCAUGUGGGUCCCUCCAGAAGCUGUGCUCCUUGAAGGAGGAUGGCCUUCCCCAAAUAGAGACAGACCGGCCUUCUGGCCAGGGUGUAUGAGCAGCUGCGCCCCUGCUAGAGCCCCCAAACAAGCUCUCUUUAAUUCUUCGAGGACCAGAUUCAUGUCUGUCAGAAGACUCCCAGCUCUUACUCAUACUCCUACUAGGAAUCCCCCCAAACAAACAGCAAACAACAAAAAAAAUCGUUGGUA
rnacentral:snRNA from 1 species